rnacentral:rRNA from 1 species
CUACAAUGGCAAGUACAAAGAGAAGCAAGACCGUGAGGUGGAGCAAAACUCAAAAACUUGUCUCAGUUCGGAUUGUAGGCUGAAACUCGCCUACAUGAAGCUGGAGUUGCUAGUAAUCGCGAAUCAGCAUGUCGCGGUGAAUACGUUCCCGGGUCUUGUACACACCGCCCGUCACACCAUGGGAGUCACCAACACCCGAAGUCCGCCUUGGCGGCCUAAGGUGGGGGAGAUGAUUGGGGUUAAGUCGUAACAAGGUAAC